AUUGAACGCUGGCGGCAGGCCUAACACAUGCAAGUCGAGCGAGCGGCGGACGGGUGAGUCAUGUCUGGGAAACUGCCUGAUGGAGGGGGAUAACUACUGGAAACGGUAGCUAAUACCGCAUACCAUCAGAUGUGCCCAGAUGGGAUUAGCUAGUAGGUUGGGUAACGGCGCACCUAGGCGGCGAUCCCUAGCUGGUCUGAGAGGAUGACCAGCCACACGUGAACUGAGACACGGUCCAGGCUCCUACGGGAGGCAGCAGUGGGGAAUAGUGCAAAAUGGGCGCAAGCCUGAUGCAGCCAUGCCGCGUGGGUGGAGAAGGCCUUCGGGUUGUAAAGCACUUUCAGCGGGGAGGCGUUACCCGCAGGAGAAGCACCGGGUAACUCCGUGCCAGGAGCCGCGGUAAUAC
rnacentral:rRNA from 1 species